UACGGAGGGUGCAAGCGUUAAUCGGAAUUACUGGGCGUAAAGCGCGCGUAGGCGGCAAGUUAAGUUGGGUGUGAAAGCCCCGGGCUCAACCUGGGAACUGCAUUCAAAACUGGCUAGCUAGAGUACAGCAGAGGAUAGUGGAAUUUCCGGUGUAGCGGUGAAAUGCGUAGAGAUCGGAAGGAACACCAGUGGCGAAGGCGACUGUCUGGGCUGAUACUGACGCUGAGGUGCGAAAGCGUGGGGAGCAAACAGG
rnacentral:misc_RNA from 1 species